rnacentral:rRNA from 1 species
UACGGAGGAUCCAAGCGUUAUCCGGAUUUAUUGGGUUUAAAGGGUGCGUAGGCGGCCUAUUAAGUCAGGGGUGAAAGACGGUAGCUUAACUAUCGCAGUGCCUUUGAUACUGAUGGGCUUGAAUGAACUAGAGGAGUGAAGCGAUGUACAAGUAGCGGUGAAAUGCAUAGAUAUGUCACAGAACACCAAUUGCGAAGGCAGCUUACUAUGGUUUUAUUGACGCUGAGGCACGAAAGCGUGGGGAUCAAACAGG